UUCAAAAGCUUGCUUUUGAAGAUGACGAGCGGCGGACGGGUGAGUAAUGGCUGGGAACCUGCCCUGACGUGGGGGAUAACAGUUGGAAACGACUGCUAAUACCGCAUGAUGUCUACGGACCAAAGAGGGGGAUCUUCGGACCUCUCGCGUCGGGAUGGGCCCAGUUGGGAUUAGCUAGUUGGUGAGGUAAUGGCUCACCAAGGCGACGAUCCCUAGCUGGUUUGAGAGGAUGAUCAGCCACACUGGAACUGAGACACGGUCCAGACUCCUACGGGAGGCAGCAGUGGGGAAUAUUGCACAAUGGGCGCAAGCCUGAUGCAGCCAUGCCGCGUGUGUGAAGAAGGCCUUCGGGUUGUAAAGCACUUUCAGCAGUGAGGAAGGUUAGUACGUUAAUAGCGUAUUAAUUUGACGUUAGCUGCAGAAGAAGCACCGGCUAACUCCGUGC
rnacentral:rRNA from 1 species